ensembl:lncRNA
AGGAAACACAGGGGUGGGGGCACAAUUAACGCGCGAGUCCUCUGAAUGGAUCAUAAAUCGAUAGCUCGUAUUGGUUAUGAAGGAUUUCCUCGAACAGACCUGUGAAGGACGUCACUUUACGGAACUGGGACUCUACUACAUCCGAUCAUUUUGUGGACAAUCCCGACGGACCGGGUAUGAAUCUCCUCCCUGAGCCUCCUCCCUGGAGCCUCCUCCCUGAGUCUCCUCCCUGGAGCCUCCUCUCUGGAGCCUCCUCCCCACACUACCACACUUCUGCUGCUGCUGCUGCCGGCUCCGGCAGGACGGGAUUUAUCGAUCCGAGCCUGUACACCUGUUCGUUCAGUGGGACCAACUUUCCUCCGCUCAGAAAGAGGCCUGACGUCAAGUCAGUUACCUGGACGUUCUGAUCCUCACGACACAGAGUGUUGAGGACGAGGUGGUUUGGAGGACGUGGAGGUGUGGAGGACAUGGAGGUAUCCAGGAGGUGUGCAGGGUAUGGAGGUAUCCAGGAGGUAUCCAGGAGGUAUCCAGGGGGUAUCCAGGAGGUGUGCAGGGUAUGGAGAUAUCCAGGAGGUGUCCAGGAGGCUCGAAUGCGAUGGGAGGCUGAUCCUGUCUUUGGUUAUCUAGCUGUAUGAGUGUUAAGCCUCCUUCAUAAAGCUAGCUAACCGAAAGUAGGACUGGCCUCCAAAGCCUCCCCCCUCUGGCCUCUGAGACCCCGACUGAGACCAGUGCCCGGGAAUAUUGUGUUCAUGAAUAUCGUCUUCAUAACGACAUGCAUGGAGUAUAGAUUUGAUAUUGAGGAUCCAGUGUAGCCCUGCUACAAGGUAAGUAACAGUGUCCCCUGGGUGACCCUUGACCUCUGUACUUCCAAACAGAGGAUGUGCGAUUAGUGUCGCUGGCGUUGAAGAGCAGAGAACUAAACCAGAUGAACACUAACGGUAACAGAACCAUCUGAUCUGCAGAAAUCGCUCUUCACAUUAUAAACUAUGAUAUCUUAGGUUAAUAUGACAUGGGCCCAUUUAACUUCUAUUCUGACUCCUAACCCUCAACAGAGGAAGACCACUUUUACCUCUUAGAAAGAAUUCACAUGUUGUAAGGGGAUUUAAACUUUCCAAAGUGAGAGAAUGUUGAGCACAGCUUUCGGAGAGAUUUAUCCUUUCUAUGAUUUUGGUAGCUGGUUGUUUUUUAAUACAAAAUCAAGCAGAGAAGAGCUCAGGAUAGUUCCCAGAAUGCAUUUUGUUUGACUUCUAUUUUUCUCCUAGUGGUUUCAACACACUGUCAUUUUUUUUAUGCAGCCAUAAUAAAUAGACCUGUACCCUGAUUAACAAAGCUGCUGUCCUCUACUGCAUGAGGUACUGUUCUGUCUUCUCCACAAUAAACUGUUCACAAGUUGUUUCUGACUAUGAGAGCAUUAUUGCUGUUCAUCUGUUUUACAGACCAAACAAACCUUCAUGAGUGUGUGUGAACAUUAAGAGAUAGAUUGUCAUUACAAUAUGGGC